UACGGAGGGGGCUAGCGUUGUUCGGAAUUACUGGGCGUAAAGCGCACGUAGGCGGCUUUGCAAGUUAGAGGUGAAAGCCCGGGGCUCAACUCCGGAAUUGCCUUUAAAACUGCAUCGCUAGAAUUGUGGAGAGGUAAGUGGAAUUCCGAGUGUAGAGGUGAAAUUCGUAGAUAUUCGGAAGAACACCAGUGGCGAAGGCGACUUACUGGACACAUAUUGACGCUGAGGUGCGAAAGCGUGGGGAGCAGACAGG
rnacentral:rRNA from 1 species